rfam:Acetivibrio ethanolgignens strain ACET-33324 ACET-33324.Scaf225, whole genome shotgun sequence.
GGGGGUAUAGCUCAGUUGGGAGAGCACCUGCCUUGCAAGCAGGGGGUCACGAGUUCGAAUCUCGUUAUCUCCA